GGUCCCGUAGCUCAACGGAUAGAGCACUUGGCUUCGAACCAAGGGGUUGGAGGUUCGAGUCCUUCCGGGACCGCCA
rnacentral:tRNA from 1 species